UUGGAGGGCAAGUCUGGUGCCAGCAGCCGCGGUAAUUCCAGCUCCAAUAGCGUAUAUUAAAGUUGUUGCAGUUAAAAAGCUCGUAGUUGAAUUUCGGGGUCAGUAGGUUGGUCAUGCCACUGGUAUGUACUGGUCUCACUGAUUCCUCCUUCCUGAUGAGCCGUAAUGCCAUUAAUUUGGUGUUGCGAGGAAUCUGGACUGUUACUUUGAAAAAAUUAGAGUGUUUAAAGCAGGCUAACGCUUGAAUACAUUAGCAUGGAAUAAUGAAAUAGGACGUUCGAUCUUAUUUUGUUGGUUUCUAAGACUGACGUAAUGAUUAAUAGGGAUAGUUGGGGGCAUUAGUAUUCAAUUGUCAGAGGUGAAAUUCUUGGAUUUAUUGAAGACUAACUACUGCGAAAGCAUUUGCCAAGGAUGUUUUCAUUAAUCAAGAACGAAAGUUAGGGGAUCGAAGACGAUCAGAUACCGUCGUAGUCUUAACCAUAAACUAUGCCGACUAGGGAUCGGAUGAUGUUAAUUUUUUAAUGACUCAUUCGGCGCCUUACGGGAAACCAAAGUGUUUGGGUUC
rnacentral:rRNA from 1 species